rnacentral:tRNA from 1 species
CAUUAAGAAGCUUAUAUAGCACUAGCCUUUUAAGCUAGGGAAGGGGCUUAACGCCCCCUUAAUGA